GAUGAACGCUGGCGGCGUGCCUAAUACAUGCAAGUCGAGCGAACGGACGAGAAGCUUGCUUUUCUGAUGUUAGCGGCGGACGGGUGAGUAACACGUGGAUAACCUACCUAUAAGACUGGGAUAACUUCGGGAAACCGGAGCUAAUACCGGAUAAUAUUUUGAACCGCAUGGUUCAAAAGUGAAAGACGGUCUUGCUGUCACUUAUAGAUGGAUCCGCGCUGCAUUAGCUAGUUGGUAAGGUAACGGCUUACCAAGGCAACGAUGCAUAGACGACCCGAGAGGGUGAUCGGCUACACGGGAACUGAGACAGGGUCCAGACUCCUACGGGAGGCAGCAGUAGGGAAUCUUCCGCAAUGGGCGAAAGCCUGACGGAGCAACGCCGCGUGAGUGAUGAAGGUCUUCGGAUCGUAAAACUCUGUUAUUAGGGAAGAACAUAUGUGUAAGUAACUGUGCACAUCUUGACGGUACCUAAUCAGAAAGCCACGGCUAACUACGUG
rnacentral:rRNA from 1 species